UACGGAAGGCAGCAGUGGGGAAUAUUGCACAAUGGGCGCAAGCCUGAUGCAGCCAUGCCGCGUGUAUGAAAAAGGCCUUCGGGUUGUAAAGUACUUUCAGUCGUGAGGAAGGUGUUAAGGUUAAUAACCUUAGCAAUUGACGUUAGCGACAGAAGAAGCACCGGCUAACUCCGUGCCAGCAGCCGCGGUAAUACGGAGGGUGCGAGCGUUAAUCGGAAUUACUGGGCGUAAAGGGCACGCAGGCGGUUAAUUAAGUUGGAUGUGAAAUCCCCGGGCUUAACCUGGGAAUGGCAUUCAAGACUGGUUAGCUAGAGUCUUGUAGAGGGGGUAGAAUUCCAUGUGUAGCGGUGAAAUGCGUAGAGAUGUGGAGGAAUACCGGUGGCGAAGGGCGGGCCCCUGGGACAAAGACUGACGCUCAUGUGCGAAAGCGUGGGGAGCAAACAGGGAUUAGAUACC
rnacentral:rRNA from 1 species